rnacentral:rRNA from 1 species
GACGAACGCUGGCGGCGUGCCUAAUACAUGCAAGUCGAACGCUUCUUUCCUCCCGAGUGCUUGCACUCAAUUGGAAAGAGGAGUGGCGGACGGGUGAGUAACACGUGGGUAACCUACCCAUCAGAGGGGGAUAACACUUGGAAACAGGUGCUAAUACCGCAUAACAGUUUAUGCCGCAUGGCAUAAGAGUGAAAGGCGCUUUCGGGUGUCGCUGAUGGAUGGACCCGCGGUGCAUUAGCUAGUUGGGGAGGUAACGGCCCACCAAGGCCACGAUGCAUAGCCCGACUGGGAGGGGGAUCAGCCCCAAUGGGAGUGAGACACGGCCCAGACCCCUAAGGGAGGGAGCAGGGGGGAAUUUUGGGGCAAGGGCGGAAACUUUAACCAGCCAACGCGCGGGGGGGAAAAAGGGUUUCGGGUUGGAAAACCCUUUUUUUUGGAAAAAAACAAGGCAGUUUAAAACCCAGCGGCCCUGACGGGAACCAAACAAGAAACCCCGGCUAACUUCCUG